AUGGCCAACCCCGGUGCGGUAUUGUCUGAAUCCUCCAGCUCCACGUCGCCGCUCGUAUUCAAAAAGCUCACCCCGGCCAAGAUGGACGACCGGCGCGCCAAAGGCCUUUGCUUCAACUGUGACGAUAAGUUUGUUCGGGGCCAUCACUGCAAACGUCUUUUCUACAUCCAGUCAGCAGACGACGAAGAAGAGCCACUAGCGGAUUUCCAGGAGGCCACAAUCUCGCUUCUUGCUGUCACAGGGAUUCCCACCAGCGACACCAUGCAGGUCGCUCUUUGUGUCGGGGAUCGUGACCUCGUCGCCUAG
rnacentral:rRNA from 1 species